rnacentral:rRNA from 1 species
UACGGAGGGUGCAAACGUUGCUCGGAAUCAUUGGGCGUAAAGAGCGCGCAGGCGGUCGUACAAGUCGCGUGUGAAAGCCCCCGGCUCAACUGGGGAGGGUCACGCGAUACUGUUCGACUCGAAGGCAGGAGAGGGAAGUGGAAUUCCCGGUGUAGUGGUGAAAUGCGUAGAUAUCGGGAGGAACACCAGUGGCGAAGGCGACUUCCUGGCCUGUUCUUGACGCUGAGGCGCGAAAGCUAGGGUAGCAAACGGG